GCGGAAAUAGCUCAGUUGGUAGAGCACUAGCUUCCCAAGCUGGGGGUCGCGGGUUCGAGCCCCGUUUUCCGCU
rnacentral:tRNA from 1 species